AAAUUAAGGUUUAAUUUCACUUGUGUUUUCAAAGUUUCACAAAUUGUGAAACUUUGAAAACACGCGUGAAAUUAAACCUUAAUUU